GUUUCCGUAGUGAAGUGGUUAUCACGUUCGCCUCACACGCGAAAGGUCCCCAGUUCGAAACUGGGUGGAAACA
rnacentral:tRNA from 1 species